UCAAAGAGUGCGUAAUAGCUCACUAGUCGAGAGAUCCUGCGCCGAAAAUGUCCGGGGCUAAAACUUACCACCGAAGCUACGGGCUUGCGUAAGCAAGCGGUAGGGGAGCGUCGUAAUCGGGCUGAAGUCGUACCGUAAGGAGCGGUGGACUGAUUACGAGUGAGAAUGUUGGCAUUAGUAGCGAGAUGUAGGUGAGAAUCCUACAGGCCGAAUAUCUAAGGUUUCCUCAGGAAGGCUCGUCCGCUGAGGGUUAGUCGGGACCUAAGCCGAGGCCGAAAGGCGUAGGCGAUGGACAACAGGUUGAUAUUCCUGUACCACUACCAUCGUUAUUAUCGAGGGUGUGACGGAGAAGGAUAGUGUGUGCUAGCGAUUGGAAAUGCUAGUCUAAGCGUUUAGGGAGUUACGGUAGGCAAAUCCGCUGUAACAAUUCUGAGGCGUGAUGGGGAAGGCCCUUGAGGCUGAAGUACAUGAUUCCAUGCUUCCAAGAAAAGCAUCUAGAGAGAGAAGUAGUGCCCGUACCGCAAACCGACACAGGUAGAUGAGGAGAGAAUCCUAAGGCCGGCGGAAGAAUUGCAGUUAAGGAACUAGGCAAAUUGACCCCGUAAGUUCGCGAGAAGGGGUGCCUGCGAGAGCAGGCCGCAGAGAAUAGGCCCAAGCAACUGUUUAGCAAAAACACAGGUCUCUGCUAAAGCGCAAGCUGAUGUAUAGGGGCUGACGCCUGCCCGGUGCUGGAAGGUUAAGGGGAACACUUAGCGCAAGCGAAGGUGUGAACUUAAGCCCCAGUAAACGGCGGCCGUAACUAUAACGGUCCUAAGGUAGCGAAAUUCCUUGUCAGGUAAGUUCUGACCCGCACGAAUGGCGUAAUGACUUGGGCACUGUCUCAACUGCAAAUCCGGCGAAGUUGUAGUGCGAGUGAAGAUGCUCGCUACCCGCGAUUGGACGGAAAGACCCCGUAGAGCUUUACUGUAGCUUAGCAUUGAAUUCCGGUAUUGUCUGUACAGGAUAGGUGGGAGACUGGGAAACUAGGGCGUCAGCCUUAGUGGAGUCAUCCUUGGGAUACCACCCUGACAGUACUGGGGUUCUAACAGGACGCCAUGAAUCUGGUGACUGGACAUUGUUAGGUGGGCAGUUUGACUGGGGCGGUCGCCUCCUAAAAAGUAACGGAGGCGCCCAAAGGUUCCCUCAGAACGGUCGGAAAUCGUUCGUAGAGUGCAAAGGCAGAAGGGAGCCUGACUGCGAGACCUACAAGUCGAGCAGGGACGAAAGUCGGGCUUAGUGAUCCGGUGGUACCUCGUGGGAGGGCCAUCGCUCAACGGAUAAAAGCUACCUCGGGGAUAACAGGCUGAUCUCCCCCAAGAGUCCACAUCGACGGGGAGGUUUGGCAC
rnacentral:rRNA from 1 species